rnacentral:miRNA from 1 species
CAGGACACCCAGUUAAAUCUGGAUUUCAGAUGACCAGCAAGUAAUCUCGUAGUGUAUGUCUCAUGACACAUUUGGGAUAUACUCAUGCUAAACAGCUAUUCCUUGUUUAUCUGAAAUUCAAAUGUAACUGGGUGUCCUGCA